rnacentral:rRNA from 1 species
GACGACGCUGGCGGCGUGGAUUAGGCAUGCAAGUCGAACGGUAUCAUCCUUUCGGGGGUGAGAGAGUGGCGAACUGGUGAGUAACACGUUAGGUUAUCUACCCUCAAGACGGGGACAACCCAGGGAAACUUUGGGCUAAUACCGGAUGUGAGCAACUUUUAGUUGUUUGAAAGGUGGCGUAAGCUGUCGCUUGGGGAUGAGCCUGCGUCCUAUUAGUUAGUUGGUGAGGUAACGGCUCACCUAGGCAAUGAUAGGUAGGCGGCCUUAACGGGUGGUCGCCCACACUGGGAUUGAGAUACGGCCCAGACUCCUACGGGAGGCAGCAGUCGAGAAUAGUCUACAAUGGUCGGAAGACUGAUAGUGCGACGCCGCGUGAACGAUGAAUCCCUUCGGGGUGUAAAGUUCUUUUAUAUGUGAGCAGUGCUUCUUAUAUUAACAGUAUGGGGAGAGAGAUAUUAGCAUAUGAAUAAGCAACGGCUAACUCCGUG